rnacentral:rRNA from 1 species
GAUGAACGCUGGCGGCGUGCCUAAUACAUGCAAGUCGAGCGAACGGACGAGACGGUUGCUUGUCUGACGAUAGACGCGGACGGGUGAGCAACACGUGGACAACCUACCUAUAAGACUGGGAUCACUUCGGGAAACUGGAGCUAGUAACGGAUAAUAUUUUGAACCGCAUGGUUCAAAAGUGAAAGACGGUCUUGCUGUCACUUAUAGAUACAUCCGCGCUGCAUUAGCUAGUUGGUAAGAUAACGGCUAACCAAGGCACCGAAGCAUGGCCAACCUGAGAGGGGGUCCGACCACACUGGAACUGAGACACGGUCCAGAUUCCUACGGGCGGCAGCAGAAGGGAAUCUUGCGUAGUGGACGAAGGCAGAGCGGAAAAACCCCGCGCGAGAAAUGAAGGUUUUCGGACCGCAAAACUCUCUUAUUGGGGAUAAACAGCGUUACAAGUAAAAGUGCACAUAUUGACGGUACCUAAUCAGAAAGCCACGGCUAACUACGUG